rnacentral:rRNA from 1 species
UACGUAGGGGGGCGAGCGUUGUCCGGAUUCAUUGGGCGUAAAGAGCUCGUAGGCGGUUCGGUAAGUCAGGUGUGAAACCUCCAGGCUCAACUUGGAGCGGCCAUCUGAUACUGCCGUGACUAGAGUCCGGUAGAGGAGCAUGGAAUUCCUGGUGUAGCGGUGAAAUGCGCAGAUAUCAGGAGGAACACCAGCGGCGAAGGCGGUGCUCUGGGGCCGGAACUGACGCUGAGGAGCGAAAGCGUGGGGAGCGAACAGG